GCCCGCCUAGCUCAAUCCGAUAGAGAGUCAGACUCUUAUAGCGGCAGGCGGUUCGUGUACGCAUCUGAAGGCUGCGAGUUCGACCCUCGCGGUGGGCU